rnacentral:ribozyme from 1 species
CAUCAAAGUCCGAACUCCAACCUUCACGUGGUGUUGAGUGUAAGUAAGUGAAAUCAUCACUGAAACUAAUAGAGU